UACGUAUGAAAAAAGUCCUAGAACCAAACAGAACUUGUAUAAAAAUGAAAUAGAAAAGAUAUUACAAUUUCAAAAUGAAAUUCAGAAUUUGCGAAAAUACAAUGAAAUCAAUGAACCAUAUAAAGUAUCAUCGCAAAAUUAAGAUUGCAAUGAUAUCAAUACCGAUCUCUUUCUGAUUACACCAGGAGUAUCAGUCUUGACAUAUUUAUUUAAAUAAAUCAAUAGUAAUCACAUAUCGUUUCAAUAAUA